AGAAUUGAUGACGAUGAUCAGGUGUCUCAUUUGUUGGCUGGGCUUCACCUGGAAUAUAACCCUCUGGUGGCUUCGGUGCUGGGGAGAUCAGCAAGAGAUCCGGUCUCCCUCAAUGAUUUGUACGCCCAACUACUCAGUUUUGACA
rfam:Triticum aestivum genome assembly, contig: Triticum_aestivum_CS42_TGACv1_scaffold_542776_6DS